AAUGAACGCUGUCGGCGUGCCUAAUACAUGCAAGUCGAUCGAACAUACUGGGAGAUUGCGCCUUUCUCGUUGGCUGCGGACGGGCGAGUAACACAUGCAUAACCUACCUAUUCAACUGGGAUAACUUCGGGAAACCGGAGCUAAUACCUCAUCAUAUUUUCAACCGCAUGGUUCAAUAGUGAAAGACGGUUUUCCGGUCACUUAUAGAUGGAUCCGCGCCGCAUUAUCUAGUUGGUAAGGUAACGGCUUACCAAGGAAACGAUGCGUAGCCGACCUGAGAGGGUGCUAGGCCACCAGGGAACUGAGAAACGCUCCAGACUACUACGGGAGGCAGCAGUCGGGAACCGUGACCCAAGCGCGCAAGCCCGAAGCAGCCACGCCCAGUGCGUGAUGAAGGGCUUCGGCUCGUAACACUCUGUUAUUCGGCAAGACCAAAUGUGUCCGUACAUAUGCCCGUCCUGACGGUCCCCAAUCAGAAAGCCAGGGCUAACUACGUG
rnacentral:rRNA from 1 species